AUGUGUCUGGCCCGUCAUCAGGACCUGUUUGCUCUGGGAGACUCUACCAGGGGCAUCAAGCCCCCCGACAAGAUAGCUCCUGGGAUCACGCAGGCACUCAAACUCUCCCAUCACUUUAAGAGUUUGUUUGUUUCACAGUCAGAGAGUGGUGUCUCUCUACAGUCAGAGGUUUUUGUACAGUGGCUCAAUGAGUUUGUAUCACUGUGGUACACGUUCGGUGGAGGAACCAGACUGGAUGUUGGAAGUGACAGGCCCCCCACCCUGACGGUGCUGCCCCCCUCCAGAGAGGAGCUGCAGCAGGGGAAGGCCACGCUCAUGUGCCUGGCCAACAAGGGCUUCCCCUCAGGCUGGAGUCUGAGCUGGAAGGUGGAGGACAGCAGCAGCAGCAGCAGCUGGGAGGAGAGCAGGAGCCCCGGGGUGCUGCAGAAGGACGGCCUCUACAGCUGGAGCAGCACCCUGAGGCUCCCUGCAGACCAGUGGAGGAAGGUGGGCUCUGUGACCUGUGAGGCCACCCAGGGCUCCCAGACUCCCCUCAGAGAGACACUGAGGAGAGACCAGUGUUCCCAGUCCUGACCGGACUCACUGGGACUCUCACACUGCUUUGACUCUCACACUCAUCUCACCUCUGUCAUUCACUCUCUUUCAC